CUUGACCUGAAGUGUAUUUUGGGCCUCAUUUCCUUCCCCGUGUGAAGCAGAAGGUCUGCAUAAAGAGGGAGGACAGUAGGUUGGAAAAAGGCACGUGCGCAGACUCUCAGCCUAUAUUCCAAGGAGAAUACUAAGCCUUUUCUGUGCCUUAGGAAAGAGAAAGCCUCAUGAAGAGCUGACAAUGAUUUAGAUGUGCUCAGCUGAGAAAGAUGUCUGCAGAUGCCUUCUGGUGGUGGCCAAAAUCUCUUCUCUUUGAAUUCACUGAGGCAUAGAAGCAUAGAAUGGCUUGGGUCGGAAAGGUCCUUUAAAGAUCAUGUAGUCCAAGCCCUUGCGGUGGGCAGGGAUAUCUUCCGCUAGAUCAGAUUGCUCAAAGCCUUGUCCAGGCUGCCUUGGCACGCUUCCGGGGAUGGGGCAUCCACAACUUUUCUGGGCAACCUGGUCCAGUGUCCCACCACCCUCGUUGCAAAAAAUUUCUUCCUUAUGUCCAAUCUAAAUCUACCCCCUUUUAGUUUAAAACCGUUGCCCCUCAUCCUGUCACUAUGGGCCUUGGUAAAAAGUCUCUCUCCAUCGUUCUAUGUGGAAAGGCUGCAAUAAGGUGUCCCCAGAGCCUGCUCUUCCCCAGGCUGAACAACCCCAGCUCUCUCAGCCUUUCUUCACGGGAGAGGUGUUCCAGCCCUCUGAUCAUUUUCGUGCCCCUCCUCUGGACCCGCUCUAACAGCUCCAUGUCUUCCUUGUGCUGGGGACCCCAGAGCUGGACACAGUACUCCGGGUGGGGUCUCACAAGGGCAGAGUAGGAGGAGAGAAUCACCUCCCUCGACCUGCUGGCCACCCUGAAGACCAAUCUAAUGAUACAAUCGCAUGAGUAAAAGCAUAUCUCACGUUGUCAUCUCCUUACUGAUCUCUCCAUGCUCAUGGAACACCGUUUCUUUAGAGAUGGGUCAGGCAGCUGCAGGAGGAGCUCGCCAACGCUCUCAGAAAGAACUCCCUGGCAGAAGCGUCACUGGCAGCUAAGAAGCGCUACAGCAGGGACCUGCAGGAACAGCGGCUGCAGUUGCAGAAGGAACUGGACAGGUCUACAGCUAAGCUGCAGGAACUGAGAGAACGGCAUAUCCGGACUGAGUGUUAUGUCUGGUUCCUGAAGAAGGCCAUAAAGAAUAAGAAGAGGGAACUAACCACCUCCAGGAACCUGCAGGGCCUUCUGGCCGCCUCUUCCGCAACUGCGGCUAUCCCAGAGCUGGAAGAACGCAUGCAAAGGCUCCAAGUUGGAAAGGCCAGGCUGGAAGCCACAGCCCAGCAACAAGCCAAGACCAUCGAAGCCCUUCAGAAAGAUCUGCAAGCCUCUGCCACAGUAAGGCAGUCAGAGCCUUCCCUUUUCAUGAGCUACAGAGCCCAGUUCCACUCUUAAGAUGAGGUUUUCCCGGACAGCCCAGGAGAGAUCAGUUCCUCUGUUCUACUGACUAUAGGCUGCUCUGAAAGUCCUGCUGGCCCAUUCCCCAGCUUUCUGGCUUUGGGAGUUGUCCCAUGAGACUGUAGCAAGUCCUACUUAACGCCGUCUUUGUCAAGGAGUUGACGCUAAUGCACUGGCUGCAGUAUUUGCUGCUUUCGACCAGCUGCGAGGUUGAGACCGCAGGCAGCACUUAAGACAGUCGUGCAGUAGAGGGAUUUGGUAGCUUUGCUUGCGGACUUUCCUUGGGCUCUUUUGGUGGUGCAGAGCGCUUCAUCCUGGAGGCCUGACUGGCAUCGUCAGACUGUGACAGGAAUUCUUCACUUGCCUGGACUCUGGUCACCUUCCUGUUUUAGUGACUCUGGAUUCGUUGGCCAGAGGGUGUGGGUCCAUAAUGCAACGAGAAGACCUCCAGAGAAGAAAAUCCGCAACUAAUAAGGGAAUGACACCUCCAUAGGCAGUAUUUUGUGUGCUGUGCUUGGGUGGCGUUGCAGGGCAGGCAACUGUGGCGUUGCACUGAUGCUGGCAAGAGAAGAAGAAAGGCCCCGAGGUGUGACCUUCAGUCGGGAAAGUCCUAGCAUGAGUUCUUUUCUCUUCUUUUAACGCUGCUGUAGGCUCGUAAUGGCCCGGAGAACUUGAUACCUGGCUUUCAGACAAAACGGACUGCAAAGGAACACCAACGUCAGCAGUGUGGGAGUGAAAGCAAGGAAGUGAAGCAGCUGGUCGAGAUGAAACGCCGAUCAGAAGCGCUUCUGGAGGAAAUGUGGCGGAGAAACAGUGCGCUGAAGGAAGAACGUACCAGGCAUGGCUUUUUAGUGCUUUAAAGAAGUAUCAUGUUGAGUGGAAGUCAAGCUUUACUGAAAUCUCAUGUAAAGGCACGUACAUAACCGUCUGUGAGCAAAUUCAAGCCUCGCGUUCAAUCUUGCAAAGUGCUUCUGUGCCUGAGCCUAUGGUUUGAAAAAGCUGCAAAAGGCCUUGCAAAAUCAGGCGGCCUGCAGUUCUCCUGGGAGGGAAGGAAGUCUUUUCUUCCUCUGUUCAGGUAAACUUUGGGCCUUCCAAGUGAUGACUGGCACUGCAGUGCUGGCUGUCCUCAGCAAUUCCUGGCCUGCAAUUCAAGCACACUACAGAUGAAGCAAGCCAUGGCUGUGCUGCUUACGUAAGAGUACGUGAAAAAGGCCAACUGUUGCUUUGCUUCACGCUUUCCUCACUGAUUUGCUGUGCAGGUUGAAGAUGCUUCUGGAGGGAGCUCGGGCAAAGGUAAAGGCAUAUGCAGAGAAGGAGAGAGAGAAAGAGUCCCAGCUCAGUUUCCAGGGAGAGAUGAAUAACAGCUGUUCGGAGGUGGCCAGCCAAGUUGGUAAACUAAGAAGAAAGCCGGUCACCAUACAUCAAGAUUUUCAUACGAAAAAGCAGGUGACAAAUGCAGUCUCGAUGGCCCCCCACCUUACGGAUUCCCACAGAUCUGGAGAUGCAGUCGAAAAACCACAGGCAGUGGAUGAGAAAAAAGCAGGACCUGUGAGAAAAGCUGUCCGCAUUGCGUGGGACUGCCAUGGUAGGUCAGAGCCAAACAGAGCAGUCUAAAAGAGAUGGGAGAAAGAACUGCACAAGAAAUAACACAAGAACUGCAACAAGUGGAUCCAUAUCUCCAUGUAAUGCCAUUUUCCACAUGUGUCUGUAGCCCAUAGGCUACAACUUUGUUGUUGACAUGUUUGAGUCUUUGGUUUUCGGUAUCUGGAUCUGUGCGCUAGUGCUGUAUUUCCAGGAUCCACUUUCCAGUGGCACCUUUGGCCCAGCCUGCUGUAAAACUAACACGCAGCCUUUGCUUUUCCUGCCCUUCGCCAGUCACAGCUGAACCUCCGAUGUAGUUAGCGCUGAGAUGAUGCUGGAGCAGCGGAAGUGCCAGGAAACAGAGUGCUCACAGGGAGAUGAGUGAAGCCUGGAAACCUUUGCCUUCCACCUCUUGCAGCGACUACCCUGCAUCUAAUUCCAAGUGUUCUGUUGCAGCUUGGUAUUUAAUAAACUCUGUCAUCUA